ensembl:lncRNA
CCAAUUUAUUUAUCAAAAAAACAAAACAAAAAAAAACUGAUUUUCUUUUUUAUUUGUCUGACAUGAAAUGUACCCCUAAAUAUAGAAUGACCCAGCUAAUACUGCGGUUGUCCUCUCCAUGUUCUGUAUAUUAAUCCAGAUAUACUGUUUAUCAUUUAACACCUCACAAGACUCCAGCUAUUUGUCUUAAAAAUAAACACUAGUAUCAAGUUACCUGAUUUCUCUUUCGUGUUUCUUUUUUUCUUUUCUGUUUCUUGUUACGUGUAAACUAAUGGCAAUGCGGGAGGAAAAGCAAAAAAUACGAAGCUCACUUUGUCGCUGCAUGUGAGAGUGCACUUGAUAAGACCUCUGGUUGUGUUUUCUGCUCUUCAGCACAGAUAGCCUCUAAAGACUAUUUUGGCGGGCAGUAAGGAUGAGUCAGAUGAGUUUUCGAGGUGAAAUUUGUGUGACACAGUAGCAGACACACUGUGCAACCUGUUAAGUAUUUGAAAUCGGCAUGGAAUCGUUAACAUAGCAUGCUAGCAUAUGUUGUUUUUUUUUUCUUUUUUUUUCACAGAAAUUUGGUAUCUCUUUUAGAGGUUUCUCUGUGCACAAAAACCCAACUGCAGAUUCCAAAUGUCUAUCCAACAUAUUUUCAUGAAAAACAACUGUAAUAAACUAUAAUAACCAACAAACAAUCAUAUUCUGGAAGCCAUGCAGCUCUAUAUACAAUUUAGACAGAACCAAAAUGGCCUUGUUUAAUUUUUAAGCCAUUAUCUACCAGAUGGGCAACAGGUGGGAUUGUUCUGUCCAUUCACUCAUGUUGUAAAAUCAAAUUAGCAUGUUUUAUUAGCCACCUGUUUGUGUUCACGUGAUAAAUCUAGCAUUGGUUGCAGGUUAUCCCGUUUAUCAAUUGGCAGGCCUACGUUUCAUCUACUUUUUCAUCUGGUUUCUCCUGACAGGAACGGAUGAGGUUCCCUGCGCCCUAAGCUAAAUGUUAUGUUAUACUUUGUCACGGGAAGCAGUCCAAUUUAUUUGGAGGACUGUUGCUGUGGAGUUUAAAUGCAGAGAAAAGCCAUCAAUCAUCACUUAUCAGGGGUUCUUCUUGGUGGCAGUGGAAAUUCGGCUAUAACAUCAAGUACUGUUUUCUUGUCCAUUUCAAUGCUGUCUAAGCGCUCUGAAGAGCUGGAGUCUUGAUGUGGAGAGAGUCGGAUGGCAGGACCGAAGCCAGUGUGGUUUCUGCGGCAGACCUACUCUGACAGGUAUAAACAUAUGAAGUUGAAGCGGAAAAAGUAGGAUAAAGCAAGUGUACUAAUGCUGAGGGGUCAUUUUAUAGUAUCAAAAUUAACCCCCAAAAGCUAAUUGGAUCGAAAUAACGUAAUUCUUUCAUAAGCAACACACUUCUAAUGUGUCUAAUGUCUUAUUUCUGGACAGGCUUUUCAAAGUUUUUAAUAAUUCUUGUGCCGUCCAUGAUGGUGAAAUUGUGGCGGGCCUUCUCUCCUCAACUGUUGCCUGCCAUGACUGUGAGGUUCAUUCCAUCCUGAUUAUAAUUGCUUUCAUCUUGUAUCGUGACUGUUUUCAAUUCUUCAGGGCCCUGUCAACUCAGCAAGGUUCACAGAGGUUGCUGUGGUUUAGGU